CUUCGCCAUAGCAAACUCCGAAUACCGAAGAGUGUAAUCACGGGAGACAGACAUCGGGUGCUAACGUCCGGUGUCGAGAGGGCAACAACCCAGACCGCCAGCUAAGGUCCCUAAGAUUGGCUCAGUGGGAAACGCAGUGGGAAGGCGCAAACAGUCAGGAGGUUGGCUUAGAAGCAGCCAUCCUUUAAAGAAAGCGUAAUAGCUCACUGAUCAAGUCGUCCUGCGCGGAAGAUGUAACGGGGCUAAGCCAGUCACCGAAGCUGCGGAUGCGUCUGUUUUUCGGAACAGGGGCAUGGUAGGAGAGCGUUCCGUAAGCCUGAGAAGGUGCAUUGAGAAGUGUGCUGGAGGUAUCGGAAGUGCGAAUGCUGACAUGAGUAGCGAUAAAGGGGGUGAAAGGCCCCCUCGCCGUAAGCCCAAGGUUUCCUGCGCAACGUUCAUCGGCGUAGGGUGAGUCGGCCCCUAAGGCGAGGCAGAAAUGCGUAGUCGAUGGGAAGC
rnacentral:rRNA from 1 species